GCUCUGACAAGCGCACUGUUCAUUCACAUCGCCUGCCUGCCCGCUGCUGCCAUUUGCUCGCAGCCCUGAUUAGCAUGGGCCACAACAAAAUGCACCACUUGGAGUGGCUGAUGGGAAAAUGGCAGAACUUACACGGCCUGGAGAUGAAGAUGUAAAAAUGAGGAGACUGUGAAUUAUUUAGAUUGAUGUCAAAAGGAAUCUCACUCUCUCCCCAGCAGCACUCUCACUCCCUGUCCGCACCCCCCUGCACUUUCCCACUGAUCUCUAACAAUGAGAAUAAUAAUAAAAAAAAUGUGUAUCUGUAUUUGAGCAAAUAUUUAUAUCUAUCCCCCGCUAUAGUGCGAUAUUUAGUGGAGAAGUUGCGCCACAGCGUUAGAGGAAUUAUUAAUGAAACGCAGCUCCUGUCCCUUUUUGUUGUCUGGCAGGAUCAAUGCCUGUAAGAGUCCCAGCAGCACAGGCACCCUGUUAGAGACGCACAUGCCUUUCAGCGGCAGAAUCGCUGGCUGUGGCUGCCAUCUAGCGGACAGAAAGGGUGCGCAGUUUCCAGUGAAACAAGUCACAUCAGUGAGAGACAUUGAGGGGCACCGGCACCUUGCAACCCUGCAGGGGCUGAGCCCGAAUUUUUUCCUUAUUAACCGAGUGCUGGGGAGGAUAUUGGUGUGAGGGUGUCAGGCUAUGGGAUUCAUGGUUUAUUCCCCCUUCCGACCCGCGUUAAUUGCAGCACACAAAGGGUUAAUCAGUCGCCGGCCAAGGUGAAGCCAGAGGCAGCCAAACUGAGCUGAACUCCAGCAACCCCUGGCGCAAUGCGAGUGAGCGGGAUGUCUAUUCAUUAGUUUAUCAGCUGCCUCUUCCCUGGCUCUCAUUCAUUAGGAACAAGGGGAACACAUCAAAAAACACUCCCCAACUUUCCUGCUAUCCGUGUGGCUUGGCUGAGCUGGGGGAAGGGGCUGAUUUCUCCAUUAGUGACAGCUCCGGAUCAUUUCCAAGCGAAUGGUUCCCGGUUAUUUCUCUCCCCCGAAAUAAUGAAGAGAUUUUCCACGGGUCCGUGGCCAAGCGCCCCCAUUGUACGGGCAUUGAGAGAAAGGAUGUUAUUGACUAUGCAACAGUGGGUCGCCCUGCUCGCCCCUCGCCAAAUAAACUCGCCUCCUGUCUCCCGGCCGCUGAAAGGCUGAAACGAAUACGAUUAAAUGAGACAAAAAAAGAACGCAGCAGCCUGUGUGUGUGAAUCAUUUAGAUUUCGGGGCGAGGAGACAGAGGCAGCACUUGGGCUCCGGGCAGAGCGAUUCGGGGCGACUGGCUGCGCCUCACUGGGAGCUGCACUGCGCCUGGCGCUACUGGGAAGUGACUGCUGUCUGCCCGACACUUUACUGGCACUCUCUUCUCCUGGCACUGCUACAGCUCUGGCUCCAUUUCCAUUGCACUGACUGAGGAGUGGAAAUAUUUUGUUUGAACUCUAGUUGGUACAUUAAGGAAAAUAGUGGAAAUCCUAAAAUGGGAGAUGAAUACUAUGUGUUUGUAUCAAGAGGAGAUGAGGGAAGAAAAUACAGUAGGGGAAUCCUCUGGAAGGUCUUGGACCUUUUAAUCGUUGAAGGCAGCAAAAAACCUGUAUUUUCCUUCUGUUCUUCCACACAAUGGAUGCCUUUAUACCUCUGUACAAAGGCAAUAGAGGUAAUGGUAAUCUAAGCCACUAAGGAAGUGAGAUAACCGGAAGGAAUGCCUCCAAUCUGCCAUGUGAUGGGACAGAAGGAAGCAAAGCAGUACAGAAGAGCGCUGCAAUCCAGGCAAACCCUCACUCAGUCCUGGAGAGACUGUGGGGAAACUUUUGCAACACGAAAAUUACAACUUCAAGGGAUACACUCAAGGUCACCGAUGGGAGAGCAUUAUGUUGCAGAACAUGUCGGAUGCAGAUGUUUUGUGCCUUUGUACCAUAAUAUUGCUCACCUCUGUGGCUUUAUGUCUUAUUUUAUAAUGGGGUCUCAAAUAACUGGAGUUGACUGAAGUUGAUCAGAUGAUGUUCUUUACCAAUGCUGCCCAUCCCUACCCUAUAUUUGGAUCAUAGGCCAGCAGGACCAGAUGGAUCUUGGUACAUAAACUUGGAAAAGAAUAAAAACACAACAAUUAGAAAAUGUGUCUCCAGAUUUUUCUGAGUUUUGUAAACCUGCACCUUAUAUCUGUGCAGUCAUAUACAGCUGGUAAGUCAUUAAUAGAAGGCUGAUAAUGUUUCCCCAGCUUUGAUAUAGUCUGUACCCUAAUACUGGGAAAAGGAAAAGUGCAAUAAAACUCAAUACACUUAGAAGGGGAUUUAUCAAUGCUCAAAUUCACAUUUUUUUGUGCUAAAACUCCCAAAUUCAAAUUAUUGUUUGAAAUGUUUGAAAGGGGAAAAUAGCUGAAAACUUGAAUGUAAAAAAAGAAUGUGAGUUCAUGUAGAAGUCAAUGGGGGUUGUCCUAAAGAAACUUAAUGCAUUUUUUAAAUGAUAGCUUUUUAGUUUUUUCAAAACUUUUUGAGGGUUUAUAAACCCAUUGAAAAUGGUGGGUAGAAAAUGAAUUCGAUGCAUUUCAGUUUUUAAUAAAUAAGCAAACAUUCGAUUUGG